AGGUGCGCACCCUCACUUACCGCAACUCCAUGUUUCAUAACCGGCACCUCUUCAAGGACAAGGUGGUGCUGGACGUCGGCUCGGGCACCGGCAUCCUCUGCAUGUUUGCUGCCAAGGCCGGGGCCCGCAAGGUCAUCGGGAUCGAGUGUUCCAGUAUCUCUGAUUAUGCGGUGAAGAUCGUCAAAGCCAACAAGUUAGACCACG
rnacentral:circRNA from 1 species